CUGGCCUGCCUGCUGGAUUCAAGAAAAGGAAAGAAGGCAUCAAGUGGUGAAGGGCAAGCCGAUCAAAGACCAUUUGCCACUUGAAGCAAAGCAGAAGACAGUGCCUCCUCACACUAUCUGUAUGAGAGCUAACUGUACCAGCAUCUGAAACUUUCUUCAUCAAUGAAGCAGCAGCAACACCAUCACCAUCACAACCACCACUAACAGCAGCAACAGCAGCAAC